rnacentral:sRNA from 1 species
UCUGCUUAGGAAUUUCAUCGGGACAUAGUACCAGUAGCUCAUCUGUAUGGCAUGAUGGCUGGGCUUGGCUAGUCUAACUGAAAUCACUUAGAACAUGAGGUUGAAGCUAGCUAGUGUCUCAGGCAAAAUAAGCAGACAGUAAUGUGGAAAAGGCAAAGGUGGAAGCUAAGAAUGCUAGAGAAAAAGAAGGCUUCUCCACCUGGCUGAUUGAGGCUUCCUCAUAAAAUGAUAAUCUGAAUUACAAGAGGGGGCAUUCCAAGAGAACAAGCCUUAAUAUAUGCAAUCAAUAUGAUUACUAAUAUGUCACUGACCCAAACAAAUCACAUGACCAAGUUCAACGUCUGGGAAGGAUAACAUCUUAAUUCAAUAAAGAGUUGAUAAUUAGAGGUAGUUUCAGAGCUAGUUUAUUCUUUAAAUAUUGGUUUCUAGAAAACGGAAACUCAUACUCUUUAAAAAGUUGGAGAUGGAGGGCUGGAGAGAUGGCUAAGUCAGUACUUAAGAGCACUUAAUGCUGUGUUGGAGGACCUAUGUGCAGUUCUCAGAAGCUAACAACGAUUUCCAGGGGAUCUGAUGCCCUCUUCUGACCUCCAUGGGUAUUAGGCACAAACAUGGUACACAUACAGACAUGUAGGCAAAAUAUCAUACAUAUAAAAUUAAGGACUUUUAAAUUUGGAAUAUGAAACUUUGAAAUUAUACAAUGCUUCAUGAAUUUUUAUGCCAUUCUUGCACAGGGCCCAUGCUAAUCUUUUCUUACUAUAUAUGCUGCUGGUGUGAGCAUGAAUUCACACACAUGACAGGAAGUACCAGACUGCACUCUGAGCUCCCUAUCAUAACUGACUGGCAUUCUGGGCUAUUCUAGGAAGGGUAAGAUUAUAUUCCUUGAAUGAGAAGAGGGGUGAAUGGGGCCAUGAAGUUCCUGAUGAACUUUUCUCCUUUAUUAAAAAUAUUUGGAGUCUUCUUAUUUUUCUUGUCUUGAGGAAGAAGGGUGAAGGGUGAAGCCUGGCUGAAAAAUUUAUCUCCCUAGAUCUUAUGCAGUUAUGCUUCCUGUAAGGAGACCGUUCCAGAAACUGCUCAAUUGCUAGGAAAGCAUUGCUUUUCCUAAUACCUCACCGCCCUUCUCUUUUGACACAUACAUAGAAAUAGUGUCUCAAAAAUAAGAGGGCAUAAUGUGAGAAACAUGAAGCCGGAAGCCAUAGGCUGGGGAUGCUUGGGAAGAAAGGAGGAGCCUGGGUCACUCAUGAUAUUCUGAAGCUGCUCUGGCAGUCCUGAAAUGGCUGCUUCUGUUCCCCAGAUAAACCUGAAUUUGUCUCCACUUCCACCUAGAAUGUGUAGCUGAACAUAGAUUUAGCUAGUACAUAAACUCACAAGUUACCUUCUACUGAAUGUUCUUGCUCACGAUUUACCAGUGAGAUGGUAACUUGACUUAGUGUGUUAGAAGUACACAAAGAGCUGUUGCAAAUUACUGUAUCAACUCCUAUACCAUUUCUCCUAAAUCCUGAUAUCUCAAAUUACUAUUAGAGUAAGAAAUAUUUAUUAAAGGGAAUAAGAAGUAGAAGGAAGAAGCAGUAUCCAAACUUGAUUCUCCCAAAGUCUCAUUUUAACAUUUUGAUGGUCUCUGCCUUUUUUUCCAAGUACUUUUUUACCAUUAUGACACUAGUGCAUAUUUAUAUUAUUUUACCUAAUGUUGUACUAUAAAUAGCUUUCCAAGUUAGCACAAGUUAGCAAGGGUGUGGCUAAGUGAGACAACAAAUACAUAUACUGUGGUGAGUAACAAAAUAUAUACCCACAAGAAUGGUUCUAAAAUACACAGAAGGAAAAUUACUUUUAAGUAAGUUGCUGACUAUAACAUGUUUUGGUUAACUGUUUCUUGGCACGGAACAUGUCAAUUCACUUUUUAAAAAAAUAAUAAUUACUAUUACUGUGUGUGCACAGCACAGUGUGUUUGUGUUGGGAGGUAUGUGGGUGCAGACAUGGCACGUGUGGGGUCAGUUCUCUCCUCCCACCUUUACAUGGAUUCUGGGGAUCAAACCUAUGUCCCCAGAAUUUCAAUGUGACUGCCAUCUCACUGCCCUCAAUUCAUUUAAAAAAAAAUUCAAGUCAGUUGGUUAAAUAUGAGUAAACAUAGAGGGAUACAUAUGGCAUCUUAGUGAAUGAUUUCUAAAACUGGAAGGCAUCCAUGCGGCUGUGCUAUAUGUUAUAUGUUUGUAUAGACCUUUUGUGAUCAUGUAUUUUUAUAAGCCAUUUUUUAAAUAUGCGUAGAGGAUAGAAAAUUCUUAACUUCCAAGUAUUCUUUUUAGUGCAAAUUUUCAUGACUCUUGUGUUCUUGAUUAACCUCAGCCUAUUGUUAGAGUACUCCUAAUGCUAACGAAUACACUUUAGCAUGAGAACCAAGAUAUCUUUUGUGAAAGUCCAAGUGACUCAAAGAAACUAGUUUUCAUUUUCAUUAACAGUAAAUGUUAUCAAAUGUCUAAAUAUCAGUACUCUGUUGCUUUCUGUUAUUGCAAUUAUUCGUAAUAGUUAAUUUCCCAACAUCCUUCUCCAGGAAAGAUAAUUACUUCUGGUUGCCACAGCACAGAGGAAACAAUGACCAGCGUGACUAAGAGAGCUCCGUGAAAGACUUGAGAUUUGAAAACCAGCUUUGUCCUUUGGUAUCGCUAAGCUGAGAUCACAGGAGAACACAGCUACGUGUUCAAAUAGUGAACCAGGAGCCCCUUACCUGAGCUGUCAGUAGUAUAAGAACAGAAGAUUACUGAGGAUUAGACAACAGUGAUCUCAGAAUGCUUCAGACUACCCAAAAGUGCUAGAAAGGAGACAAGAUUUUCAGGUGAAGAACAACAGGAAAGCCCUUUGACACAGCCGAGUGUUGAUUCAAUCCAGUCGCAGUGUACCAGCUGCUGUCCGGGAGACACCUUGUCUGCUUUGACCUGUCAGGAAAUGAAGAAUGGAAGCAGCUUCUAGAUCACAGGGUGGUCACUGGUCACACUAUGUGAGGACUCUGAAUCUACCUCUACAGAAAGGAGGAGGAUGUGAGGGCAGGACUCUCAUUGUUCAUCAAUUCUGUCUUCCCCUGCAUGCUGACAACCAACGUACCAUACCUGGAAAUCAUAAGCAAGAGCCGUUUAACUUGGAAUUAAACAGUCUAAAACCUAGGUUUUGAAACACACUUUGCCGAGGUGGUGUGCGGAUAGGACCUGGCCUUCUCCUUUACUUGGCUCACUAUGUUGCAGCUCUUAAAUGGAUGGACCGUUUAAAUGUUCCUCGAUUCUCCACAGACCAAAUUUAAUCCACUGACUUGACCUUCAAAACAUGCAGGAGCCAGUCACAGUCAUUGUUAUUGGU